rnacentral:rRNA from 1 species
GACGAACGCUGGCGGCGUGCUUAACACAUGCAAGUCGAACGGAAAGGCCCUGCUUUUGUGGGGUGCUCGAGUGGCGAACGGGUGAGUAACACGUGAGUAACCUGCCCUUGACUUUGGGAUAACUUCAGGAAACUGGGGCUAAUACCGGAUAGGAGCUCCUGCGGCAUGGGGGGGGUGGGAAAGUUUCGGCGGUUGGGGAUGGACUCGCGGCUUAUCAGCUUGUUGGUGGGGUAGUGGCUUACCAAGGCUUUGACGGGUAGCCGGCCUGAGAGGGUGACCGGCCACAUUGGGACUGAGAUACGGCCCAGACUCCUACGGGAGGCAGCAGUGGGGAAUAUUGCACAAUGGGCGGAAGCCUGAUGCAGCAACGCCGCGUGCGGGAUGACGGCCUUCGGGUUGUAAACCGCUUUCGCCUGUGACGAAGCGUGAGUGACGGUAAUGGGUAAAGAAGCACCGGCUAACUACGUG